AUACCUUUCUCGGCUUUUUGGCUAAGAUCAAGUGUAGUAUCUGUUCGUAUCAGUUUAAUAUCUGAUACGUGAGUCAUAAGCUCACAUGAUAUUAAAUUAAUUUUUUAAAGGAGAAGGCUCAUCACAAUAGCUUGCUAUUGGAGCCUUCAAGCGUCGCCCAAGUGUUGCACUAUUGCUAGGGCCAGGCACAACCCCA